rnacentral:rRNA from 1 species
AUUGAACGCUGGCGGCAGGCCUAACACAUGCAAGUCGAGCGAGCGGCGGACGGGUGCGUAAUGUAUGGGGGAUGCCCGCGAGAGGGGGAUAACUCCUGGAAAAGGUAGCUAAUACCGCAUAUGAUCGGAUAACCCAUAUGGGAUUAGCUCGUAGGUGGGGUAAUGGCUCACCUCGUCGACGAGCCCUAGCUGGUCUGAGAGGAUGAUCAGCCACACUGGGACGGAGGCACGGCCCAGACUCCUACGGAGGCAGCAGUGGGGAAUAUUGCACAAUGGGCGCAAGCCUGAUGCAGCCAUGCCGCGUGUAUGAAGAAGGCCUUAGGGUUGUAAAGUACUUUCAGUGAGGAGGCGUUACCGGCAGAAGAAGCACCGGCUAACUCCGUGCCAGCAGCCGCGGUAAUAC